ensembl:lincRNA
GCGGGAAGGGGUCCGCCAGGGGCGCGGCGAGAGCCGCGCCCGGGCGCAGCACUUGCGCUUUCCCCUAGUUCGGGCCCUCGGGCAAGCGAUACCUAAAGGUUUCUGCGGUUUGGCGAAGGCGAGUUAUAGUUCUUAUUGUUAUGGUCCUUGGUUGUUUGGCCCACUGUGGAGGCCACUUGGCCCCUUUGAAGGCAGGCCUCACAAUGACGGGAUACUCUGGACCUGACGGCUGAGGCCGCACCUGCACCGCACUGAGUACGGCUCAAGAAUUUUGCGUGCAUUUUGAAAGAAGAGAUUUAAAAAAUACUCAUCGUUAAAUAUUACGCCAAUACAGAAAGGUCCCCAGCAUCUGUGCCGUCCUUCUGUCUCUGCCUGCAGCACCGGACACACACCAGUGUUCACCUGCAUCUAUCUGAUGACUAAUUAUUUGCACCAACCUGACUCUAGGAGGAGUAUCUUCAAGACUGAACAUGAGGAAUUGCUACUGGUAAAUAUCUAUAAAUCUAAUUUAGUAAAUUGAGAUUCUGAAUCAUUUGCAGUUCUAUUGUC